AUGGAAGAGGCGGCGGCGGCGGCCGGCGUGCAGCUGGGCACCUCGAAGCCGCAGAUCGCGACCCAGGCGGAGAUGGCGGAGGCGCGCCUGCCGAUCCCCUACCGCGACCAGUGCGCGCACCUCCUCAUCCCGCUCAACAAGUGCCGCGUCGCCGAGUUCUACCUCCCCUGGAAGUGCGAGCCCGAGCGCCACUCCUACGAGAAGUGCCAGUACGAGCUCGUCAUGGAGCGGAUGCUCCAGAUGCAGAAGAUCCGCGAGGCGCAGGCGGGCGCCAAGGUCAAGGGCAGCGUCACCAUCGGCGUGCCCCUCGCCCCCUCCACCGCCAAGCUCGCCUGA
rnacentral:rRNA from 1 species